AAACUACCUCCGGGACAACCAGCGGUACCACAAGGGCAGCUGCCCCACUGCCAAGCUGGAAAAUGCACAGUCCAAGGUGUCGAGGGUAAGAUCUUUUACAUUUUACCUGGCAAAGGGACAGACUGAAUUGUUCAGUUGGCUGUUUUUAAGGAACAUUGAUGAAGCGGUGCCAUGAGGGGGCCAAACUGAGGAUCCCAGAGCUGCUGCACGCCCUGGAGGAGAACCACAUGUCAUCGCUGCGUAACCGUAUUUACGGCUACUUUGCAGCAUUCACAGCCUCCAUAUACGGUCAUCACCCGGGGGGUACUCCGUAACCUCUGGGUUUGCGAGGUGGAGAAGGCUGCAGAGGCGCACAAGCCUGGCGAUGAGGGUUUUGUGAUCUCUGGAACACGAGACAAACAACUCAAAUGGUGCGGCCCAAAUGUUGUUGGAGACUGACGAGUUUCGCUGGCUGGAGAGGUGGCUGCAGCUGCAGGUGGCCAGCAAGCCACGAACCAGGUGUUUUUUUUCACGGCUGGGAAGGGCCCGUGCAAGAACUUCUUGCACCACCUACAGGUAGCAUGGGCAGAGCUGGGCCUCAAAGGGUUCCCCAACUUCACCCACCUGAGGACCGCUGUGUCUACUCAUGCCAAGAACAACUUGCAUGCCGAGCAGCAGAAGAUGGUGGCCACCUUUAUGUUGCCACAGCUGACUGCUUCUACACCCUCAGCCUGAACGUGGCCCAGUCAAAGAGGAUGAGGGGCAUUUCUGCCAGGCCCUCACCCACACCGUGCCGUCACCAGAAGCCUCAUCCUCCUCCUCCACCACCAGGAAGAGGUCCCGCUCUUACUGACUGCAGUAAUGUAAAAGGAUCCUUUUCUCUGUCUCUCCAUUCAACUGGAUCUCUCACUUUUCUCUUACAUUCUCUUGCUGCUAUUCUGCUUUGCUUUUUUUCAGUGGUUUCUAUGGGAGAAAAACAAACAACUUUCAUAUGUACAUUAGCCAUGCCCUACAGAAAUUGGGAUUUUGUGUGUUGAUACAUUUUGAAACCACUGCACCACUUCAAUAAAUGA